UGCGUAAAUCCCACUCCAUCCAAACCACAGGGAAAGGAGCCGUUCAUGACCCAGGAACUCACUGUCACAAACAGAGCCCCAGCUGGUGACUCCAGAUCUGGAGUGUAAUUUGACUCAUUUGAGAGUUUAGAGUCAGCAAGAGCCUUCCCCCUACAGCUCCCCUAGAGGGCCCUGGGGCAGGUCACUUUGCCCAAAUGACAAGGUGGUGAUGACCCGCGACUCUGUUGUGAUGCAGAGAUUGUUGGGUCAGCCCCCAGGGGCCGCAGCAUUUCACACCAGGGUGUCGCCCAGAGCACAUGGCUGCUGCCUGUGGGUCUGAGUACAGGGACCAGAGUGAUGGAGCAGGGCCUUCUGGGACCAACCUGCUUCCAUUGCUAAAGAAGGGAACGUGAGACACCGAAGGAUGAAGGAAAGUAUUCUUGUGAAGGAAGUGAAUCUAUCCUUUGCUGUCAAAGGCCAGAAUUAGUUUCAUAAGAAAAGAGCAAGAUACAUAACCAAAGCUUCUGAGGUUAUAGAAGUAUUGACUUGUUCCAAUCAAGAAUAAGGAAACCACUUAUACCUACUAGAUUUUUAACAGUACAGCUGAUUGUAUGGAGAGAAAGAGAGAAACCAAUCCAGCAAUUCAUCACGCAGAAGGAGGUCAUAUUUCGAGAUGCAAGGAUGACACAUGGCUGUCGUUUACAGGAAGGAAUUAGCGGAUCCAUCCUUUUAAGGAGGUAAGAAAUAUUAUACACCAUUCCCAUAAUAGCCAUUGGUUCUGGUCAUACUUUCAGGUGGAAGGAAGGUAACUGAGGAAAUUUUCAUCUCUCUAAAGAGCAGGAGAAAUUGCUGUACUGAAUAAAGCACUAAAAAUGGGUGCUACCUGUUCAGAUGAAAGGAAAGUAGUUGGUAAU